AAAAACUUUCAUUUAAAAGCAUAUUAAGAAUGGCAUUAAAAGAUAUUAAAAAUGUCAUUAAGCACAUUAAUAAUAUUUUAAAGAAAAAGCCCUUGUAAUUCUUGAGCCAUUACUCUUAUCUUAAUGAGAAAUAUAUACACUUAUGAUCGGAAUGGUGUAGCAUAAGAGAAAGAAAGAAGAUGAUGUUAAUGGAGUUACAGGCAGAAAAUUAAUUUGAGGAUAGCAGCAAAACACUUAGCAUUUUUUUGGUAGCCUUCAUUCGUUGCAUUGUUUUGUUUUGCAUUGACUAAAAUGAAAAGACUUGAGAUACAGAGGCCAUUAUCAUAGAAGAGUGAUCUAGUCCCUUGACAUCAUCUAACUAAACAUAAGUAAAGUAACUAAUCAUAGAAGGUGUAGAUAUUAAAGAAAAACAUUACUUAGAUGAAGACAAUAAGUAACAAGCAACCCUUCAUAUUAUCACACAAGGACAUGAUGCUUAAAUAUAAAAACAUACAUUACGCCCCCACUCCUAAAAAUAACCAAAUCGACUUAUCAAGUCAUAUUUUCUUUAUCAAAACUACAAGCACGCACUAAUCAUAUAUACAAAGUAGACUUUAGAAAGCUACUAAAACAACUUCUUUUACAUUGAAAUUAUUAAAAUGGUGAUGAGCUUGUCCGUAAAACUACAGUCUCUAUAACAUAAGUAGAGUCACAAACAAUAAUCAGAUAAAUUAGUCAAAAAAAGUGAAAACUUAUUUAAAUGAACUUGACGUAUCCAGUUGAAAGAUUGGAUGAAAUAGAGAAAACAGUUUAUGCAGUAGCAGUACAACAUUAUCAUAACAAAUUGUGAUGCUUGAUAAUUUUGUUGACUUUAAUAAUCACUACAUCAAAAUUCAUACCUACCAUCACUUCUGAUUGAUUACCAAAGUAAGAGUUUUUACAUUGACAGUGCUUAGAAAUUAAACUAAUGAAACUAAAAAGACAAUAUACUUGCUAAUUAAUUGAUAAAAUAUUUAUACCACUCACCUUCAUUUAGUGUGUGAUACAACCUAAGAACAUCUACACCAGAAUAGAAAGCUCUGCCACAACCC
rnacentral:lncRNA from 1 species